AAAUAAUAAAAACCACUUGAUGAAUAGUAAAAUAGAACAAUAACAAAAUAAAAUAGUACUACUAUACAAAAAAAAGGACCAGAAUUCAAAUUUCUAGUUAGGUAAUAACAACAGCAUUGAUAUUAACCAAAAAACUACUCCAUAUAUUAUGAUAAGGAAAAGGAAUUUAUUGUUGUAGAAAGCAACCAACAAAUCAACGCCUAAUCCUUAUCCACUCGUCCCCAUCUCUUUAUAUACACAUGUAUCAUUCCUCAGUGUCUCCAUCUCUCUUUCUCUCUCUCUCUAAAACGCAGAUAGAUGUAGUGCGGGCCGAGAGGUGAAAUGGGGGUCGAUUUCGGGCCAACAUCUGUGGGGAUCGGUGGAUUGGAAAUCGAAAUUGCUUUUGCCAUUGCUCUCUUCUUUUGAUUUCCAACUCCACCCAUUCCUAUGGAUUUUGGGAUUUCCCCUCAUUUCGUCUAUCUGUUUUCUUCUUCGCUUAUUUUACAUGUAAGAGCAAAAGAGAGUGAUUGCUAAAUAAUGCACUAAGAGCAUCCACAGCCGUUGGCUUGACGGUGGGCUCCCUGGGCCCCCCGAGGCACCAGACUCCACAGCUGUUGAGUCCCACCUUCAGGCCUAGCUCGCCGGAGGAUGUUGAGUCCCACCUUCAGGCAGGGGCGAAGCUAGGCCCCUAAAGACAAGGGGGGCAAAAUAUAAUAAAGAAAAUUUAAAAUAAUUUCUAUAAAAAUUAUUUAAUAAAAUAUUUUUACAAUAAUUCCCUACAACCACUCAUAUUUUGAAAGUGACGUAAUAUCAACUGUUUUAAUUUUUUUUUCUCAAUAUAAGUAACUAAACAAUCAUUCAUCAAACGAUCACCCAUUUGAUUUUGAAGUUGACUUUUGACAAUCUUCAUGACAGAAAAAACUAUUUUCACAGUUGCUUGUCACAUGUAAAACAAGUGCAAAUUUAAUAAGAUUAUACAUCAAUAAAUACACAAU